CCUACGGGGGGCAGCAGUGAGGAAUAUUGGUCAAUGGACGAGAGUCUGAACCAGCCAAGUAGCGUGAAGGAUGACUGCCCUAUGGGUUGUAAACUUCUUUUAUAUGGGAAUAAAACGUUCCACGUGUGGGAUUUUGUAUGUACCAUAUGAAUAAGGAUCGGCUAACUCCGUGCCAGCAGCCGCGGUAAUACGGAGGAUCCGAGCGUUAUCCGGAUUUAUUGGGUUUAAAGGGAGCGUAGGUGGAUUGUUAAGUCAGUUGUGAAAGUUUGCGGCUCAACCAUAAAAUUGCAGUUGAAACUGGCAGUCUUGAGUACAGUAGAGGUGGGCGGAAUUCGUGGUGUAGCGGUGAAAUGCUUAGAUAUCACGAAGAACUCCGAUUGCGAAGGCAGUUCACUGGACUGCAACUGACACUGAGGCUCGAAAGUGUGGGUAUCAAACAGGAUUAGAUACCCUUGUAGUC
rnacentral:rRNA from 1 species